rnacentral:lncRNA from 1 species
GUGCGCGGACCGACACUGUCAGCUCCUAACGCCGCAGGUUCCUCCUGGUCCCCGAGGCCCCCGGUCGGGCGUUGCCUGCCCCGCGCGGGCGGCCGGGCCGAGGGACGAUGGUCAGUGGACGGACGGCGCCAGGGAGCAGUGCCCACGCGCGGCAGGGCGGUACCUUCAGGCCUCCAGGACUGGCUCUCCUGACCUCUCCAGGUGUCAUCGAACACCCUUGUGCUUGCUGUCACCCGCUGCCUGUCUGCAGGAUCCCGGAUUCCGUAUCAGGGGACCGAAAUUAGUCGGAAAAUAGGAAGCAGGUGCUCGCUUGGAUGGAACCCUGACCCUGUGCUCACACUUGUAGGAGGAGGGCUCUGCAGGCCGCCUCCCGGAACGGGAGGUUCCCAAGCCACUGCACUUCGGAGGGGCUGUAAUUAGAGUUGCACAUUCAUUCAGUUCCCAGUAAAGUAGAACGUGCUCCAGCCAGUGAGGAAAAGGUGUUUUUAAAAAUUAGAUUGGCCGAGUGCGGUGGCUCAUGCCUUUUACCUCAACACUUUGGGAGACAAAGGUGGGAGGAUCACCUGUGGCCAGGAGUUCAAGACCAGCCUGGGCAACAGAGCCUGUCUCUGGGGAAGAAUAAAAAAAAAAAUUGAGCCUUU